rnacentral:rRNA from 1 species
GGCCCGGUUGGACGGUCAGCUCUAUGGGUUUGUACUGUCCUGACUGGGUCUUACCUUCUGGUGAGCUGUCGUUCUGUUUAUUCAGUGCGGCAGGGAACCAGGACUUUUACUUUGAAAAAAUUAGAGUGUUUAAAGCAGGCAUCCGCUUGAAUACAUUAGCAUGGAAUAAUAGAAUAGGACUUUGGUUCUAUUUUGUUGGUUUCUAGGACCGAAGUA